UUCUUGUUGCUAUCUCGAUAUUUGCAGCUGGUAAGAACUCCAUUUCGCCAAUAUGUAAAUGCGAUCAUAAUCUGAGAACCAUAGCUUUUUUGCAUAACACGAUUUCUCUGUAACGUCUCAGCUGAUAUUAACCGCUCUGCAAAGUAACCAAUGAGCUCGCUACAUAGUGGUUCCAAUUUCAGACUCUCCACAGUGAUUUCCCUUUUCUGCUUAACCUUGUU
rnacentral:misc_RNA from 1 species